CGCAGCCGCUGGCCGACGCCCUGGGGGACCUCGCUGCCACCUCCGCCGCCGUCACGGGCGCCGCCGCUGCUGCCACGUUAUCCAUCCUGGUGAUUGCCGCCUUCUACGCUGCAGAGAUUCGAAAAAGAACUGAAACCACAGCGGAACCGGCUGAUGCACAACAGACCCUUUUGAGGAACCUCAGACCAAGAGACGGAUAACGUAAAGUCAACGUACCACACAGAAAUUUAUGUAAUUCGGUAACGGUUGUUCGUUUGGGUAUUGUGAAACCAUGAAAGACAAUGUCUCAGUGUACGAGCAUACUAAGCUCGUAUUUAUGAGAAGAAAUUCUGUUCUGAGUACAAUUUGUUCAAUAACAUCAGUCUUUUACAUAUGCUCUGUAACAGCGGAGGGAUACAUUAGUUUUCCAGUAAUUGUUCAGUGGUAAUGCUUUGAUUGUACCUAUUUAUGCAGUUUACUAGAUUUUAUACAGAGAGCGACAGAACUUUUCGCAUGUAAUAGAGAUAAUUGUUCAUAUGAAACUGAAAAAUCUCUACAACAUUUUAUUAAGACAUCUGACCAAGUAAUGCAUGUACCAUAAUAUAUAAUUUAUUUCCAUUAGAAAGCAAAAGUAAGUCACACAAAGAUUUUCUGGAAUAAAGUAAACUGUCAACACUCA